UGCCUGGCCGUAUUUCAAAAUGGGUAAGAAUCAAGCAUACAAAGCGAUGCAGAAAGCCAGGCUGGGAUCCUCAAGUUCGGCUGGGCCGGUUGAAAUUGAAGAUGGAAUGGUUUGUACCCUUCCACACUACUCCCCCUGCUUAGUCACUUUCCUUGAGACCGUCAUAAUUGAAAAAUCGCUCUCAUGAUGUUCAAUUUUAUACCGACUCGAUCGGUGGCAUUUUCAUGCUAGGGAAGUUUAUAAUCAGUCAAUUUUAUUUACUCUGUUUUAGUAGACUCAAUGGGUCUCUGAAUGUAAUAAAAUGUCAGUUUAGCUGUAGAUUCAUGAUAAGUUGACUAAGGUUUAAGUUUACUUGAUUGAUUGGAUUUGUAUAAUGUUUUAUCGAUUAAAAACAUAUAUAUCUAUUGCAUUCUUCUUUUUCCUAGGUUCCACAAAACAUAUAAGUCUCGCAGCAAAUAGAAGAAUAUUUUGAGAAGGUGACAUUUUGUGGUUUCUUUGUUGUAGUAUCGAUUAAUAUUUUCUUGGGGCACUCGGGGGGUUCGUAAUCUUCUAAAUUAGCGCCGGGUGUCGUUCCCCACCCUCCCCGGCAUUUCUGUUGCAUCACUUUCUUGUUUUCGAUAUCGUGACUGUAAAGUCUGACAUUUUAUUGGGAAGGAUUGUUUUUCUCAAAUCCUUUGUUGUCAUUAUUAUACUCAUUCUGAGUUCAUACUUUUCUUUAUCUAGCUUUAGUUUAUUUUAAACACCUGUAUCCUUUGCAUCUGAUGCCAUUGGAAUCGAGUCGCUACUUCUCUUGUAUUGAAAAUUCUAAAGAAACAAGACGAAGCUCAUUUCGGUAACGAAACUUAAUGAUGCCUUGAUUUAAGUGAUAUAUUGGCUUGAGUUAUGCAACUUCCGUUUAGAAAUAGCAUAGUAAUCCUGCAUAAGAAUAUGAAUAAAUAGUUAUUUUCCCUUUAUGAACCAUCGAUAAAGUAGUCUGACUCUGUCACUGCUUGGAUGUUCAUUUUGAUGGCUAUAUGAUCUGUUGGAGAGCAAAUCCAAGUUAGCCCUGGAUAAUUGGUUGAUGAGAGGCCUUUUAUUAAUGAAGUGGAUGGUUCAUUUCAUUCACCAGAGUGGCAUGCUGCUCGUUUGGCCAGCCUUAAUACGUCUCACACGAUUACCUGGGAGGAAUAUAAGAAGAAGCAAAAGGAAGAUGAGUUGAAAAAGGGAGAGCUAGAAGCAGAUACAGAUAGAAUGAUGAAAGAAUAUCGAGCGCAAUUGGAUGCUGAGCGGGCACGUAAACUUGCUCAGGGAAGAAAUUGUUCUAGUAGCAAGAGUGGUCA